GACGAACGCUGGCGGCGUGCUUAACACAUGCAAGUCGAACGGAAAGGCCCGGCUUUUGUGGGGUGCUCGAGUGGCGAACGGGUGAGUAAGACGUGAGGAACCUGCCCUUGACUUUGGGAUAACUUCAGGAAACUGGGGCUAAUACCGGAUAGGAGCUCCUGCUGCAGGGUGGGGGUUGGAGAGUGUCGGCGGUUGGGGAUGGACUCGCGGCUUAUCAGCUUGUUGGUGGGGUAGUGGCUUACCAAGGCUUUGACGGGUAGCCGGCCUGCGAGGGUGACCGGCGACAUAGGGACAGAGAUACGGCCCCGAGUCCUACGGGAGGCAGAGGUGGGGAAUAUUGCACAAUGUGCGGGAGCGCGAUGCAGCGCCGCCGCGUGCGGGAGGACGGCCUUCGGGUGGUAAAAAGCUUUCGCCUGUGACGAAGCGUGAGUGACGGUAAUGGGGAAAGAAGCACCGGCAAACUACGU
rnacentral:rRNA from 1 species